rnacentral:piRNA from 1 species
UGUUACUCGUGAAAUUCUACUAAAUACAAAGA